rnacentral:rRNA from 1 species
UGAACGCUAGCGACAGGCUUAACACAUGCAAGUCGAGGGCAGCAUAAAAGUAGCAAUACUUGGUGGCGACCGGCGCACGGGUGAGUAACGCGUAUGCAACCUACCUAUCAGAGGGGAAUAACCCGGCGAAAGUCGGACUAAUACCGCAUAAAACAGGGACACCGCAUGGUGAUAUUUGUUAAAGAAAUUCGCUGAUAGAUGGGCAUGCGUUCCAUUAGGUAGUUGGUGAGGUAACGGCUCACCAAGCCGACGAUGGAUAGGGGAACUGAGAGGUUGGUCCCCCACACUGGUACUGAGACACGGACCAGACUCCUACGGGAGGCAGCAGUGAGGAAUAUUGGUCAAUGGGCGAGAGCCUGAACCAGCCAAGUCGCCGUGAAGGAAGAAGGAUCUAUGGUUCGUAAACUUCUUUUGCAGGGGAAUAAAGUGCAGGACGUGUCCUGUUUUGUAUGUACCCUGAGAAUAAGGAUCGGCUAACUCCGUGCCAGCCGCAGC